rnacentral:rRNA from 1 species
GACGAACGCUGGCGCCUUCCUUACCACUUCCAAUUCGAACGGAAAGGCCCUCUUUGCGGGGUCCUCGGUUGGCAAAGGGUUGGUUAACACUUGGUUGUUCUGCCUUCCACUCCGGGUUAGCCUUGGAAAACUGGUUCUAUUCCCGGUUAGGAGCCACCUUUGGUGUGGUGGUUGGAAAUUUUUUUCGGUGUAGGAUGAGCUCGCGGCCUAUCAGCUUGUUGGUGGGGUAAUGGCCUACCAAGGCGGCGACGGGUAGCCGGCCUGAGAGGGUGUACGGCCACAUUGGGACGGAGAUACGGCCCAGACUCCUACGGGAGGCAGCAGUGGGGAAUAUUGCACAAUGGGCGCAAGCCUGAUGCAGCGACGCCGCGUGGGGGAUGAAGGCCUUCGGGUUGUAAACUCCUGUCGCUAGGGACGAAGCUUUGUUGUGACGGUACCUAGAUAAGAAGCACCGGCUAACUACGUG